GUAAGUCCCAGUUCGGAUUGAAGGCUGAAAUUCGCCUUCAUGAAGCCGGAAUUGCUAGUAAUGGCAGGUCAGCAUACUGCCGUGAAUACGUUCCCGGGCCUUGUACACACCGCCCGUCACACCAUGAGAGUUGGGAAUACCCGAAGCCUGUGAGCUAACUUUUAGAGGCAGCAGUCGAAGGUAGAAUCAAUGAUUGGGGUGAAGUCGUAACAAGGUAAC
rnacentral:rRNA from 1 species